UUACUAAAGUAUUAAUCUCCACCGUUGAAUAUUGAUCUCAAUCCAAUGGAUAUAAUUAAUCGAUUUUUUUCUUUUCUUAUUAACUUCCUGCUAUCUCUCUCUCUUCCUCUUCCUCCCCGUCUUGUAUGUUUGCAGAAUUUGUUUUCUCUUUUUCUAAUCUUAGUCUCUUCAUUCCCUUUAUUGUCCGAUAAUAUUUUCUGAUUUGUGUUGACAGAGCAAGCUAGCAGCGGUGGUGGUGUCUGGAAGCUAGUGGCGGCAUGAGAUGGUGGAUGUGGAGCGUACCAUGGAAGACAAUGGCGGAGGAUGGCUCGGCGAGCCAAAGAUUUUCUCAGGGUAUGAGAUCAAGGAGUGAGUCUAAUCUGCGCACUGUGUGCUCAACAAAGAAGUUGUUGAAGGUCGAUGGUGAAGGUCCUUUGUUUCCAAGACUGAGAUGUAGAAGAUUGAGAUGAGUCAAUUGGAUUGAGAUAUCAUCACCAGCACUGGUCAUCAUCAGAUUGAGAUGCGUCAUUUGGAGACAGAAUAGAGUAAGACCUCGAGAAGAAAGAGGCAAAGGAGGAGGGAGGCGACAACAACAUACAGAUUAGGGUUUAGAGUUAAUUAGGGUGUUCUGGUUUACUUAGUUUUUUAAUUCUGGUUUAGAGUUAAUUAGGGAGGCGACAACAACAUACAGAUUAGGGUUUACAGUUAAUUAGGUUUAAUUACUAAACCAAUUUGUAACUGUAAACCAAUGUAAUUGUAAACCAAUGUAAUUGUAAACCAAAAUUCAAUUUAUAAAAAUACCAAUUUAUUAUUUUUAGUCAA